rnacentral:rRNA from 1 species
CCAGCACCCGCGGUAAUUCCAGCUCCAAUAGCGUAUAUUUAAGUUGUUGCAGUUAAAAAGCUCGUAGUUGGAUUUCGGGUGGGUGACAGCGGUCCGGCUCUGCUGUGUACUGCUGUUGCCUUCCUUUCUGUCGGGGACGGGCUCUUGGACUUCACUGUCCGGGACUCGGAGUCGGCGAGGUUACUUUGAGUAAAUUAGAGUGUUUAAAGCAGGCUUAUGCCGUUGAAUAUAUUAGCAUGGAAUAAUAAGAUAGGACGUAGGUACUAUUUUGUUGGUUUGCGCACCCACGUAAUGAUUAAUAGAGACAGGCGGGGCUAUUCGUAUUGCAUUGUCAGAGGUGAAAUUCUUGGAUUUCUGCAAGACGAACUACUGCGAAAGCAUUUAGCAAGGAUGUUUUCAUCAAUCAAGAACGAAAGU